AUUGAACGCUGGCGGCAUGCUUUACACAUGCAAGUCGAACGGUAACAGGUUAAGCUGACGAGUGGCGAACGGGUGAGUAAUGCAUCGGAACGUGCCCGGUCGUGGGGGAUAACGCAGCGAAAGCUGCGCUAAUACCGCAUACGAUCUGAGGAUGAAAGCGGGGGACCGUAAGGCCUCGCGCGAUCGGAGCGGCCGAUGUCAGAUUAGGUAGUUGGUGGGGUAAAGGCUCACCAAGCCGACGAUCUGUAGCUGGUCUGAGAGGACGACCAGCCACACUGGGACUGAGACACGGCCCAGACUCCUACGGGAGGCAGCAGUGGGGAAUUUUGGACAAUGGGCGCAAGCCUGAUCCAGCAAUGCCGCGUGCAGGAAGAAGGCCUUCGGGUUGUAAACUGCUUUUGUACGGAGCGAAAAGGCUCUCUCUAAUACAGGGGGCUCAUGACGGUACCGUAAGAAUAAGCACCGGCUAACUACGUGCCAGCCGCCGCAGUAA
rnacentral:rRNA from 1 species